rnacentral:ncRNA from 2 species
UGACCCUGUGCGGGAGAGUCCUCCGGAAAGACCGAAACCGGUCCUUCGGGGGCGCCGAAGGAGCAAAUCCUCCCCGGAAUCUCUCAGGCCCCUGUACCGCACGGACGAG